UUUUUUUCCCUUAAGAUAAUGUAUCUUGGUGCAGCCUCCAACAACCUUGCCGCAACAUCCCUGGCAUUCUUUCAAGAAUCUGUGGAGAAGUUUGGUUU